rnacentral:hammerhead_ribozyme from 1 species
AUCCACCUGAAGAGUUCAAUAUAAAACAAAACGCGCUUCCUGGAU